rnacentral:rRNA from 2 species
CAUACCGAACACGGAAGUUAAGCUCUUCAGCGCCGAUGGUAGUUGGGGGUUUCCCCCUGUGAGAGUAGGACGUUGCUAGGC